GGCGGCAGGCCUAACACAUGCAAGUCGAGCGCACCCUUGAACUUCGGUUCUCUGGGCGAGCGGCGGACGGGUUAGUAACGCGUGGGAAUAUGCCCUUUUCUACGGAAUAGCCUCGGGAAACUGAGAUUAAUACCGUAUACGCCCUUUGGGGGAAAGAUUUAUCGGAGAAGGAUUAGCCCGCGUUAGAUUAGGUAGUUGGUGGGGUAAUGGCCUACCAAGCCUACGAUCUAUAGCUGGUUUGAGAGGAUGAUCAGCAACACUGGGACUGAGACACGGCCCAGACUCCUACGGGAGGCAGCAGUGGGGAAUCUUGGACAAUGGGCGCAAGCCUGAUCCAGCCAUGCCGCGUGAGUGAUGAAGGCCCUAGGGU
rnacentral:rRNA from 1 species